GACGAACGCUGGCGGCGUGCUUAACACAUGCAAGUCGAACGGAAAGGCCCUGCUUUUGUGGGUUUCUCGAUUGGCGAACGGGUGAGUAACACGUGAGUAACCUGCCCUUGACUUUGGGAUAACUUCAGGAAACUGGGGCUAAUACCGGAUAGGAGCUCCUGCUGCAUGGUGGGGGUUGGAAAGUUUCGGCGGUUGGGGAUGGACUCGCGGCUUAUCAGCUUGUUGGUGGGGUAGUGGCUUACCAAGGCUUUGACGGGUAGCCGGCCUGAGAGGGUGACCGGCCACAUUGGGACUGAGAUACGGCCCAGAAUCCUACGGGAGGCAGCAGUGGGGAAUAUUGCACAAUGGGCGGAAGCCUGAUGCAGAAACGCCGCGUGCGGGAUGACGGCCUUCGGGUUGUAAACAGCUUUCGACUGUGACGAAGAGUGAGUGACGGUAAUGGGUAAAGAAGCACCGGCUAACUACGUG
rnacentral:rRNA from 1 species